rnacentral:rRNA from 1 species
UACAGAGGUCUCAAGCGUUGUUCGGAUUCAUUGGGCGUAAAGGGUGUGUAGGUGGCGCCGUAAGUCGGGUGUGAAAUUUCGGAGCUUAACUCCGAAACUGCAUUCGAUACUGCCGUGCUUGAGGACUGGAGAGGAGACUGGAAUUUACGGUGUAGCGGUGAAAUGCGUAGAUAUCAAGUGGAACACCAGUGGCGAAGGCGAGUCCCUGGAAAACUCCUGACACUGAGGCACGAAAGCUAGGGGAGCAAACAGG